rnacentral:rRNA from 1 species
GACGAACGCUGGCGGCGUGCUUAACACAUGCAAGUCGAACGGAAAGGCCCUGCUUGCAGGGUACUCGAGUGGCGAACGGGUGAGUAACACGUGGGUGAUCUGCCCUGCACUUCGGGAUAAGCUUGGGAAACUGGGUCUAAUACCGGAUAGGAGCCAUCUUUAGUGUGGUGGUUGGAAAGUUUUUUCGGUGUAGGAUGAGCUCGCGGCCUAUCAGCUUGUUGGUGGGGUAAUGGCCUACCAAGGCGGCGACGGGUAGCCGGCCUGAGAGGGUGUACGGCCACAUUGGGACUGAGAUACGGCCCAGACUCCUACGGGAGGCAGCAGUGGGGAAGAUUGCACAAUGGGCGCAAGCCUGAUGCAGCGACGCCGCGUGGGGGAUGAAGGCCUUCGGGUUGUAAACUCCUUUCGCGAGGGACGAAGCUUUUUGUGACGGUACCUAGAUAAGAAGCACCGGCUAACUACGUG